UUUAUGAUACCGAUUUUUAUCGAGUAGUUUGGUCACUGCACUGACAUGGAACUUACAUAGAAGGCUGACAUUAGCAAUCUAGCAAUGUUUCCAGCAAAACUCCAGCAAUAUUUACUUACAUCCUGCUUCGAUCGUGCUGGUAAUCGACGUCACGUGUUCAUCGGCGUCGUAUAGGAGACGUGGCCGUAUUGCCCAGAAGAUAAUGUUUCGCAUCCAAACUUGCGGAAGAGGUAGUAGGCUACUCGACACGCUUUCUGGGUGUUGAAAUACUUUGCUGUCUUUGUAUCUCACAGAUAUAUCUCGCGGUGACGCUUUGGAGCAUAAAUGUUUGAAGGCGGGAUGCAUUACAUGGAUAGAGCGAUAUCCGAUAUUUGAGACUACCCUAAAGUUUUACAGCUACAGCUGUACAUGCGGAGAUUAGCAUCGGAUAGCAUGCGUGCGCCGUCCGCCCCAGAUAUCGCGCAGCAGUGAGUCAGGGAAGAAGCGUCAAGCAACGUUGGGUAUCACGUGAGGUGUGGUGAUGCAGGUGGCGGGAGUGGAAAGCAGAAGGCGCCACGCAGGCCUUUCGCGAGGAUGGCUCCGGGAAAGAUUUUAGUGAAGGUUCCUGUCCGUGUGUGUCUUGCGUCCGGUUCCUUCUUGCGAUACCAACUCGUUAAGAAAAGAUUGUAAAAAUUCGUAAACAUCCGAACAGGGUUCGAGCUGCAAUGUAUUUGUAAAAUCUAAUUUCAACACAUGAACAUACUAUAUGCUAGGAACUCUGAAGGAAACGGGGAAAGAAUCGUGCUGAAGUGUACCCACAAUGCGUUGUGACUCAACUGUUUUUUUUUUCUUUCCUUGUGAUUACGGCAUUCUUGAUUGAAGUUUAUGGAUCAAGCCAUAUUAACAGUAUAACAGCUUGUGCGUAGAAUGGAAUCUGUCCAAAUGCGUUAUGGUGAUUUUUCGCCUUAUGAAUGACCAUCAAUUUCUUCGCUCCGUGGUGUUUUUUUCAAUCGUUGGCACUGGUCGUCCAAGUCGAAGUUAUGUCGUCGAGUUACGCUAAUCAAAAUGAAAAGUCGCAAAUAAAAUUGUACAGAGAAGGAAGCAGAUAAUAACGUCAUCAGACAAUCCUGUCUAUGGCAAAUACACAUAUCGAAGUUAGGCCAUUUCCACCCGUUUAUGAAAUUUUCUUACGUGCAAAGCAUUGCAUGAUGAAUGAUUCCAAGCUUGCACAAAAUAAAAAGCGAAGCAUGUGACACUCAACGAAACACGUUGAGUAGGACAGCAGUAUGUUGGCCGGGAAAAAACGUGAAAGGCGAAAACUAGAGUAGGCCGACUAGAGAGCAGACGAAGACUAUAGAGCAGGUUGCAGCGCCAAACUGGCCCUACGUCGCAUGCGUGCUUCCAUUUCACGUGCCGACCAAUAUGGUCCCGCUACGACUAGAUUUUCGCGCAUGCGUACUAUUCUUGUUCUCAAAUUCGUCUCAAACGGAUUCAGGAAAGGGUUCUCGUGUGAGACCCAACUUGCAGAGUUAAUGAUAUACAUGCAGCAAUGAAUGUUGGCACUCAAACCGAUGUCAUUUUUCUAGACUUCUCCAGAGCGCUUGACCGCGUACCCGAUUCUCGGUUACUGUACAAAUUGUCCUGCUAAGGAAUUCAUCCUCCACUAAUUAACUGGAUUCGCCUCUUAGUUCUGCUUAGUUAACGAUUCUUCAUCUCCCCCAACGAACGUAACAUCUGGUGUACCACAGGGUACAGUUCUUGGUCCCCUUCUCUUCCUGCACUGUAAAAAAAUACUGUGAUUUCUACGGGCGUUUAGUAGUAUCUGACGACGGCGUGUUACCGUAAUCACAAAUACUGCGAAAACUACGUAAAACGGUGGCGCCAUCAUCAUGCGCCGGCCAAAAAUUUCAAUGCGGAGGCAAGGCCAAGCCAAGUACGGGUCAUUGCCGUCAUUCACAACAGCCGGACGCCGAACAUCGUGCGCGGACGAUCGUUGAGGAAGAAGAACGAAGUGGUCGUUGUAAAUCUCGUGAAUGCACGUAGCCAGUGUUUUGAUGCCAGAGCUGACUGAUGGGUGCACAUGGCUCCUUCGAAUGUUCUUCCUUUGAAAAAAUAAACGUGUUUUGAUGCCAGAGCUGACUGAUGGGUGCACAUGGUUCCUUCGAAUGUUCUUCCUUUGAAAAAAUAAACGGUGAGUAUAACUGCAUGUCAAUUGCCCUGCUACCUGUGACAGUUUCUGUUCUCUUUGCAGUGUUUUGACGCCAGAGCUGACUGAUGGGUGCACAUGGUUCCUUCGAAUGUUCUUCCUUUGAAAAAAUAAACGAGUUUUGACGCCAGAGCUGACUGAUGGGUGCACAUGGUUCCUUCGAAUGUUCUUCCUUUGAAAAAAUAAACAAGUUUUGAUGCCAGAGCUGACUGAUGGGUGCACAUGGUUCCUUCGAAUGUUCUUCCUUUGAAAAAAUAAACAUGUCUUGAUGCCAGAGGUGAUUGGCGCAUUUUCAUCAUAUGUACAUAGAAAAUAAAUCCCGAUGUGACAAACAUCACAA